GAGUUUGAUCAUGGCUCAGAUUGAACGCUGGCGGCAGGCCUAACACAUGCAAGUCGAGCGGUAACAUUUCUAGCUUGCUAGAAGAUGACGAGCGGCGGACGGGUGAGUAAUGCUUGGGAACAUGCCUUGAGGUGGGGGACAACAGUUGGAAACGACUGCUAAUACCGCAUAAUGUCUACGGACCAAAGGGGGCUUCGGCUCUCGCCUUUAGAUUGGCCCAAGUGGGAUUAGCUAGUUGGUGAGGUAAUGGCUCACCAAGGCGACGAUCCCUAGCUGGUUUGAGAGGAUGAUCAGCCACACUGGGACUGAGACACGGCCCAGACUCCUACGGGAGGCAGCAGUGGGGAAUAUUGCACAAUGGGCGCAAGCCUGAUGCAGCCAUGCCGCGUGUGUGAAGAAGGCCUUCGGGUUGUAAAGCACUUUCAGUCAGGAGGAAAGGUUAGUAGUUAAUACCUGCUAGCUGUGACGUUACUGACAGAAGAAGCACCGGCUAACUCCGAGCUCAGCGACAGAAGAAGCACCGGCUAACUCCGUGCC
rnacentral:rRNA from 1 species